CUUUGGGGGCACAGUUUUAGGGGGUUUAUGGGGCCGGUUAUGGGGUGAUUUGGGCGAGUCCCUGGGGUUAUGGGUGUGCUAGGGGGAUUUGUGGUACUUGUGAGAGCUGGUGGGGGUGGGUUAUCGGGCAGUUUAGGGUGGGAUGGGGUGGUUUAUGGGUGGUUUGGGGAACUUUAGGGUGGUUAUGGGGUGGUUUGGGGCAGUUUAAGGUGGAGUGGGGUGGUUAUGGGGUGGUUUGGGGCAUUUUAGGGUGGUUAUGGGGUGCUUUGGGGCAGUAUAGGGUGGGGUUUGGGGUGGUUAUGGGCUGUCUGGGUGUUAUGGGGUGGUUAUGGUGGGAUUUGUGGUGGUUAUGGGGUGGUGUGGGCAUUUUAGGGUGGUUAUGGGGUGGUUAUGGGAUGGCUUGGGGCAGUAUAGGGUGGGUUUUGGGUGGUUAUGGGGUGCUUUGGGGCAGUAUAGGGUGGUUAUGGGGUGGUUAUGGGGUGGUUUGGGGCAGUAUAGGGUGGUUAUGGGGUGGUUAUGGGGUGCUUUGGGGCAGUAUAGGGUGGGAUGGGGUGGUUAGGUGUUAUGGGGUGGCUUUUGGGGCAAGUUGAGGGUGGUAUGGGUGGUUAUGGGGUGCUUUGGGGCAGUUUAGGGUGGUUAUGGGGUGGUUGGGGUGGUUAUGGGGGAUUUGGGGUGGUUAUGGGGUGACUGUGAGGUGGUUUGGGGUGGUUAUGGGGAGAUUUGGGGUGGUUAUGGGGUGAUUGUGAGGUGGUUUGGGGCAGUUUAUGGGGGGAUUUGGGGUGGUUUGGGGUGGUUAUGGGGUGAUUGUGGGGGGGUUUGGGGGCGGUUUGAGGGCAGUUUAGGGUAGGGUGGGGUGAUAAUGUGGGUUUGGGGUGGUUAUGGGGGGAUUUGUGGUUGUUAUGAGGUCACUUGGGGUGGUUAUGGGGUGGUUAUGGGGCAGUUUAGAGUGGGAUGGGGUGGUUAUGGGGUGGGAUGGGGCAGUUUAGGGUGGGGUAUUUGGGGUGGUUAUGGGGUGGCUAGGGGGUGCUUUGGGGGCAGUUUUAGGGUGGUUUUGGGGUGGUUAUGGGGGGAUAUGGGGUGGUUAUCGGGGUGCUGUGGACCGUUUUGGGGCAGUUUAUGGGGGGAUUUUGGGGUGUUUGGGUGGUAUGGGGUGAUGUGGGGGGUUUGGGGGCGGUGUUGAGCAA
rnacentral:lncRNA from 1 species